ensembl:lncRNA
CUGUCCAUGUCCCCCAGCCAUGUCCAUGUCCGUGUGUCUGUCCCCACGUCCAUGUCCCUGUGUCUGUCCAUGUCCCCACGUCCAUGUCCGUGUGUCUGUCCCCAUGUCCCCCAGCCAUGUCCCUGUCCCCGUGUCCAUGUCCGUGUGUCCCCAGCCAUGUCCCCGUGUCCGUGUGUCUGUCCAUGUCCCCGUGUCCUCAUCCCUGUGUCCAUGUCCCCAUCCCUGUCCCCGUGUCCAAGUCCAUGUCCGUGUGUCUGUCCAUGUCCCCAUGUCCUCAUCCCUGUGUCCCCAUCCCUGUCCCUGUGUCCAUGUCCGUGUCCGUGUGUCUGUCCCCAUGUCCAUGUCCGUGUGUCUGUCCCCAUGUCCAUGUCCGUGUGUCUGUCCAUGUCCCCAGCCAUGUCCCCGUGUCCGUGUGUCUGUCCAUGUCCCCAUGUCCCCAUCCCUGUGUCCCCAUCCCUGUCCCUGUGUCCAAGUCCAUGUCCGUGUGUCUGUCCCCAUCCCUGUCCCGGUGUCCAUGUCCCCGUGUCCGUGUGUCUGUCCAUGUCCCUGUGUCCCCAUCAGUGUCCCCAUUGGUGUCCCACUCACGCAGCCCGGUGGACUCCAUGUGCGACGCCGUGUUCACUGUGUCCCCUGUCCGUGUCCCUGUGUCCCUGUCCCUGUCCCUGUGUCCAUGUCCAUGUCCGUGUGUCUGUCCCUAUGUCCAUGUCUGUGUGUCUGUCCCCAUGUCCGUGUGUCCCCAGCCGUGUCCAUGUGUCCCCAUCAGUGUCCCCAUUGUCCCACUCACGCAGCCUGGUGGACUCCAUGCGCGACGCCGUGUUCGUGUCCCCUGUGUCCAUGUCCCUGUCCCUGUGUCCCUGUGUCUGUGUCCGUGUGUCCCCAUCCCUGUCCCCGUGUCCGUGUCCGUGUGUCCCCAGCCGUGUCCCCAUGUCCCCAUCAGUGUCCCCAUUGUCCCACUCACGCAGCCCGGUGGACUCCAUGCGCGACGCCGUGUUCACCGUGUCCCUGUCCUUGUGUCCCUGUGUCCAUGUCCAUGUGUCCCCAUCCCUGUCCCUGUCCCUGUGUCCAUGUCUGUGUGUCCCCAUCCCUGUCCCUGUCCCUGUGUCCAUGUCUGUGUGUCCCCAUCCCUGUCCAUGUGUCCCCAGCCGUGUCCCUGUGUCCCCAUGUCCCCAUCAGUGUCCCCAUUGGUGUCCCACUCACGCAGCCCGGUGGACUCCAUGCGUGACGCCGUGUUCACCGUGUCCCCUGUCCAUGUGUCCCCAUGUCCGUGUGUCUGUCCCCAUGUCCGUGUGUCUGUCUCCAUGUCCCCAUGUCCAUGUCCGUGUGUCUGUCCAUGUCCAUGUGUCCCCAUCAGUGUCCCCAUUGGUGUCACACUCACGCAGCCCGGUGGACUCCAUGCGCGACGCCGUGUUCACCGUGUCCCCGAACAGGCAGUACCGCGGCAUCUUCAGCCCCACCACGCCCGCACACACCGGGCCUGGGGACACCUGGGUGUCACCGCUGGGGUGCCACUCCCGUCCCCAUUCCCAUUCCUGUCCCCAUUCCCAUUCCCAUUCCCAUUCCCGUUCCCAAUCCCAUCCCCAUUUCCCAUUCCCAUCCCUGUUCCUGUUCCCACCAGUGUGGAUGCCGAUGCGCAGCUCCAUUUCCCAUUUCCAUUCCCAAUCCCAUUUCCCAUUCCCAUUUCUCCGUUCCCAUCCCCAUCCCCAUUCCCACCAGUGUGGAUACCAAUGCCCAUUCCCCAUCCCCAUUUCCCAGUUCCCAUUCCCAUUCCCAUUUCCCAUUUCCCCAUCCCUGUUCCCAUUCCCAUCCCCAUGACCGUUCUCACCGGUGUGGAUACCAAUGCCCAUUCCCCAUUCCCAUUUCCCAGUUCCCAUUCCAUUUCCCAUCCCUGUCCCCAUCCCCAUUCCCAUUCCUAUUUCCCAAUCCCAUCCCCAUUCCCACCACUGUGGAUUCCCAUCUCCAUUCCCAUUCCCCCAUCCCCGUUCCCAUUCCUGUCCCCAUUUCCCUGUUCCCAUUUCCACCAAUGUGGAUGCCAAUGCCCAUUCCUGUUCCCCAUUCCCAUUUCCCGUACCCAUUCCCAUUCCCAUUCUCAUUCCCGUUCCCAAUUCCGUUCAUCCCCACCGGUGUGGAUGCCAAUGCCCAUUCCCAUUUCUCAUUCCCACCAGUGUGGAUUCCCAUCUCCAUUCCCAUUUCCAAUCCCAUUCCCAUCCCCAUUUCCCCGUUCCCAAUCCCAUUUCCAAUCCCAUUCCCAUCCCCAUUUCCCCAUUCCCAUUUCCCCAUUCCCAUUUCCCCAUUCCCAAUCCCAUUUCCAUCCCCAUUUCCCCGUUCCCAAUCCCAUUUCCAAUCCCAUCCCCAUUUCCCCAUUCCCAAUCCCAUUCCCAUCCCCAUUUCCCCAUUCCCAAUCCCAUUUCUCCCAUUCCCAUUCCCAUUUUUCCCGUUCCCAUUCCCGUUCAUCCCCACCGGUGUNCCACCCAUGGACUCAUUUCAGGGGUCACCUCCCGCCUCAAAAUCCUCUCUGGAUGUCAUCCCUCAUCUGGGGACUCUUUUUGGGGGUCACCUCCCACCCAUGGACCAUUUUAGGGUGUCACCUCACAUCUGGGGGAUCUUUUUCAGGGGUCACCUCCCAGCUGGGGACUCUUUUUGGGAGUCAUCUCCCACCCAUGGACCAUUUUCAGGGGUCAUCUCCCACCCAUGGACCCUUUUCGGGGGUCACCUCCCGCCUCAAAAUCCUCUCUGGAUGUCAUCCCUCAUCUGGGGACCCUUUUUGAGGGUCACCUCCCACCCAUGGACCCUUUUCAGGGGUCACCUCCCACCCCUGGCUCCUUUCUAGGGGUCAUCUCCCACCCAUGGCCUCAUUUCGGGGGUCACCUCCCGCCUCAAAAUUCUCUCUGGAGGUCAUCCCUCAUCUGGGGACUCUUUUUGGGGGUCACCUCUCACCCAUGGACCAUUUUAGGGUGUCACCUCACAUCUGGGGACCUUUUUCAGGGGUCACCUCCCAGCUGGGGACUCUUUUUGGAGGUCAUCUCCCACCCACAGACUCUUUUUGAAGGUUACCUCCCAUCUAGGGACUUUUUGGGGGUCAUCUUCCAUCUCAGGACCCUUUUUGGGAGUCAUCUCCCAUCCAUGGACUCUUUUCAGGGGUCACCUCCCAUCCAUGGACUCUUUUCAGGGGUCACCUCCCACCUCAAAAUCCUCUCUGGAUGUCAUCCCUCAUCCAGGGACCCUUUUUGAGGGUCACCUCCCACCCAGGGACCUUCUCUGGAUGUCACCCCUCAUCUGGGGACCCUUUCCGAUGGUCAUCACCCACCCAGGAACCCUUUUUGGGGGUCACCUCCCACCCAGGGACCCUCUCUGGAUGUCACCCCUCAUCUGGGGACCCUUUCCGAUGGUCACCACCCACCCAGGAACCCUUUUUGAGGGUCACCCCUCACCCAGGGACCCUCUCUGGAGGCCACCCCUCAACUGGGGACUCUUCCUUGGGGUCACCACCUACUCAGGAACCCUCUCUGGAUGCCACCCCUCAUCUGAGGACCCUUUCUGAUGGUCACCACCCACCCAGGGGCCCUCUCCGGGGGUCCCUGGUGGCACCUGUUGAANUGUCCCCAAUGUCCCCACGGUGUCCCCAGGUGUCCCCAGUGUCCCCAUGGUGUCCCCAAUGUCCCCAAUGUCCCCAUGGUGUCCCCAAGUGUCCCCAAGUGUCCCCACAGUGUCCCCAAGUGUCCCCAUGGUGUUCCCACCCGCUCACCCUCCCCGUUGGACUCCAUGCGU